rnacentral:rRNA from 1 species
GAUGAACGCUGGCGGCGUGCCUAAUACAUGCAAGACGAGCGAAGCGGGGACGGAUGAGUAACACGUGGAUAACCUCCUAUAAGACUGGGAUAACAUCGGGAAACCGGAGCUAAACCGGAUACUUAUAGAUGAAUCCGCGCUGCAUUAGCUAGUUGGUAAGGAAACGGCUUACCAAGGCAACGAUGCAUAGCCGACCUGAGGGGGGGCGUGGCCAAACUGGAACUAGAACAGGUUCCAGACUCCUAGGGGGGGCAGCAGUGGGGAAUCUUCCGAAUUGGGCGAAAGCGUGACGGAGCAACGCCGGGUGAGUGAUGAAGGUUUUCGGUUCGAAAAACUCUGUUAUUAGGGAAGCGUUACCUAAUCAGAAAGCCACGGCUAACUACGUGCCAGCAGCCGCGUAAUAC